CCCGCGGUAAUCCCCCGGCCCCGCUCCUUCGCCUCCGACGGUUUCCCCUUGUCCACACGCACCUUUAUCUCGUUCUCUCUCCCGUCGCCUGCGCUCAUCCUCUACAGAAAAAAAAUCGAGAAAACAACCACCCAUGUCUGCGAUCUGCCUACUCCACCCAUGCCCAUGGCCGCCCCCGACGCAAUAGCUCAGCCCCACCCUUGCACACGGAUUCGGCCACGCCCAACCUGCCCUGCUCUAGCUGCCCGUUUAAUUUCGCUGCCAAGAAACUACCGCCAUGGAGGUGCGCCCCUUCAUCAGAUCCAGUGAGGAGGUGCCUCGGCCAAAGAGAAAGCAGCCAGGCACUCGCCCUCCAUAAAUCCGGCGAGGAGGCGCAGUGCCCACAAUAGUGGUCGUGAUGGUGGCUAGGAGAGCUUGGCAACCAUCUACCUGGUGACACUGGAGGUGGAGAUCAGACGUUCGCCUAGCUGUGGACUUCGACAACGUGCGUGUUUGUGAAGCUGUUGCCGCUGAUUCAGUACUGGGCUCAGAUGCGUCAAGAUUGGCGCGAAUGAUCAUACAUUGGCAGUUGAGGCAUGGAAGGGGCUCUAUCAGAGCAUCAGGUCAACACAGAACGCCAAUGGUAGAUGUGAUAUGGCAAGCCACAAAGAAGGAAAAAAGAGUGUUCAGAUAUUGCUUAAUGCGAAAAUAGAGUUGCAAGAAGUCAGACGCUACAUCUUGGACAUGAAAAUCUUCUAGAUCAUCUUUAAUUUGUGACCAACUGUAGCUUGGUGUCCAUACAAAGUACGUUCUUUGGUCGAAAAAUUGAGAGAUUAAUUAGAUUCUUAAUUGUACAAUAUAUUGUAAAACAUGUAUUCUGAAAUACAAACUUGUUAUGAUGUGAAUAGUUGUACAUAUCUUAUUGUGGUACUCAAUGUUCCCGUUGCAACGCACGGGCAUUUACCUAGUAGAAGAUUAAGAGUGCGGAGCUCGGCCGCUAACCAGCCAGGACACGUUAGCAAAUUUAUUUCGGGCCGUUGGAUCGCAUUGUGGAUGGCCAAAUCUCAUCUUAAUUCUUGUUCGUUGUUUCUUUCCACGUAGUUACUUUUCACUAGCCAAUGAAAACAAUAUCAUGUUCUGGAACCCUCUUUCCUCGACUCCGCUUCUCGAUCUCGUCGCCUCUUCCUCCUAUCUCCUAGCGCUCGCCGAUGCUCCCAGCGCACCGGCCUAGGCCUGGGCAGGCGCACCUCUCCCUCUCCCUCUUCCCUCGACGACUCCUCUCUCCCAGCACACCGGCCUAGGCCUGGGGAGGCACCCCUCGCGCGGUGGCGGCGGUGACACCGGCCUAGGCCAGGAACGGUGGCCUUGCCAUCAGUGGCCCUUGUCGCAGUGGCCCUGGUGACGGCGACGGCGUAGCCCUAGGUCAGCACCCACCAACGAUGCCAUGUCUGCUCCUCUGUCCUCUUUCCUGUGUGCUGCGACUUAUUUGCGGAUAUAAUGCCCUAGUCGUCGAUUCCAUCCAGAUCUGGCUUCCUCACACAUAUACUAGGUUGUUCGACCAGUCCCUCAUCCUCUUGCUGAGUCGAUGGACGAUAGGGGAACACUUGAUGGGUGGGUUCUAGUAGAGGACACUACUGAAGAGCUGACAUACAAGGUUGUGGAUAUGAGCUUAGCUUCAUGUAAUCAGUGGCUUUAAAAAGAAAUGUUGAUGUACGACUCCUCGGUCAGGCCACAGUCUCCACUUCCUCCCCAGCUGUAUAUGCUUUAUAAAGUAUCAUUUAUAUAUUCAGACCCGACGAUUAAUCGGUUUCUAGCUAAUUAUUUAUUUAAUAUAAAGAAAUCAUUCACGGUGCCAUUGUUUUGUUAGAAAGUUAAUGUUUCAGCAUGUCAUUAUGGUUUUCCUUACGAGAGCCAAAUCUUUGCAUUGGAUUAUUCCCAUGUGGUUUACAUGUUUCAUUCUAUUGGUGAAACAUAGUUGAUUUUGUUCAUAUGCAUCGAUUACCUUUCUUGGUGGUCUGUGUCACACCAAUUUCAAGGAAAAAAUUGAAUGCAUAAACUUAUGUGCACCCAGAGAUCAAUCACACACAUAAGUCACAAAUUAAAUACCAUAAUCGUAGUGUUUACAACAAACGUAGUUAUUACAUCACAAAGUCUACUAUAACAGCG